GAAUGGAUCGCGCGACACCCUGUAGCCGCGUUAACAGUCACUCUACGACCGGGAAAGACCUUGAGACGAGGACGCGCGCGCCAGUCAUGUGACAGUUGGGAACUGAUGGAGUCUUGCUAAAUCGCUGAAUUGCACAGGGUGGGCUCGAAUCUACCAGGAGCCUCCCAGACUCCUAGGAUGGGAGGCGCGUCCCACCAUGCCCCGCAAGAGGUCCUCCUCUGCCAUACAGUUCCUACAAUCAGUAUUAGCUCCAUUUGACCCUGUAGAAAUUGAAGUUCAAAAAGGUUGAAAUUACUCACAGAAAUGAAAGAAUUCACACGGAGAAGAAACUCUUAUGUAAGCAAUGUGAGAAACCAUUAAGUAUACGCAGUCACUGACAAAUACAUGAAAGAACUCACACUAGUGAGAAACCCUAUAUAUGUAAGUAAUGUGGGAAAAGCAUUCAGUACACACAGCUAAAUUGUCAAAGACAUGAAAAAAAUUCACACUAGUGAGAAACCCUAUGUAUGUAAGCAAUGUGGGAAAGCAUUCAGCAGACACAGCCAAUAUCAGAUACAUGAAACAAGUCACACUGGUGAGAAAUCCUAUGUGAGUAAACAGUGUGGGAAAGGAUUUGUUGCUAACUCCUCAUUUUGUAGACAUAAAAGAACUCACAUUGGAGAGUAACCCUAUGAAUGUAAGCAAUGUGGAAAAGCAUUCAACAGACACAAGGUCAAAUGCAUGAAAGAAUUCACACUAGGGAGCAACCCUAUAUAUGUAAGCAGUGUGGGAAAGGAUUUGCUACUAUUCAUUUUGUAGACAUAGAAGUACUUACACCUGGGAGAAACCAUAUAUAUGUAAGCAAUGUGGGAAAGCUUUUGGUAUACAUGACUAUCAUCAAAUACAUGAAAGAAUUCACACUGGGGAGAAACUAUGUAUGUCAGUCUGUUUUGAAAAUUCUGCAGAAAUUUCUCAUGUUGCAGAGACCUGUACAAAUAAGAAAUAAUGAAAAGUUUCUUGUCAAUUAUUCAUAAAUUUUCCAGGAAAUACACUCCCAGGUGGAGAUAUCCUAAAGUAUAAACAUAGUGGGGGUUUUUUCAGUAAAGUACUUGUAAAUCUCUAGAUUAUAUGUCUGUAGUGUUCACUAAAAAAGUAAAUAUUGAUUUGAUGUAAUGAUAUGUUUAUGUAAGCAACUGUCUUUAAGCAUAAUAUGUCUUUUAAUUAAACAAGGUGAAUUUAAAUGUAUUUUUCACUUCCAAGUAGGGUUAGUAUUUAUGUACUUUGUUUUGUUUCUACAAUUGGGAGU